UACUAUUGAAUAUGAUGUUAGCUCCACUCCUCCUGGCAUGUUUAGAGUUCUUGAUACAUUUGAAAAUGCACCUGUUGAAUCUUUUGACAUUGAAGUACUGGAUGAAACUAGCAGGCCCUUAACUAUUGAAGUCCAAGUCAGAGGAUGUAUUGAACAAGUUCCAACAACUACAACGGUAGCUCCAGAAACAACAACCCAAACGACAACACCUGUUCCACCAACAACAACGGCAGCUCCAGAAACAACCAGACCAACAACAACUG